rnacentral:rRNA from 1 species
GAUGAACGCUGGCGGCGUGCCUAAUACAUGCAAGUCGAGCGAACAGACGAGGAGCUUGCUCCUCUGACGUUAGCGGCGGACGGGUGAGUAACACGUGGAUAACCUACCUAUAAGACUGGGAUAACUUCGGGAAACCGGAGCUAAUACCGGAUAAUAUAUUGAACCGCAUGGUUCAAUAGUGAAAGACGGUUUUGCUGUCACUUAUAGAUGGAUCCGCGCCGCAUUAGCUAGUUGGUAAGGUAACGGCUUACCAAGGCGACGAUGCGUAGCCGACCUGAGAGGGUGAUCGGCCACACUGGAACUAAGACACGGUCCAGACUCCUACGGGAGGCAGCAGUAGGGAAUCUUCCGCAAUGGGCGAAAGCCUGACGGAGCAACGCCGCGUGAGUGAUGAAGGUCUUCGGAUCGUAAAACUCUGUUAUUAGGGGAGAACAAAUGUGUAAGUAACUAUGCACGUCUUGACGGUACCUAAUCAGAAAGCCACGGCUAACUACGUG